GACCGAGCGAGGCGGGAGGACUGGGUGCUGCGCGCACUCUGCGCUAACUACUGUUCAUUUCGUCUCCUUCUCAUCCUUCUUGUAAUUUGUAUUUUGUGUGUGCUUUAUCAUGCGCGCCACGUGUCAGGACAGCAGAGCCUGCGUAUGGUUUAUAAAUAACUACACGUAUCCUGGGGACACACGCUGGCUCAGAGGUGUUAGCACGGGUAGGGCAGCGCUGCGGCCUCUCCUGGCCACAUUUAAGGGUCUGGAGCAUUAAAUAACAUUAAGAAUUAACAGAUGCCAGAGGAGUCGCAUUCGUUUUUCCGUGGGAAGGAGGUCAGCACCGGCGGCGUGGGUGUCGGACCACGUAGAGAAGCAGAUUCCCAGGAGAAGGACAGAGUGCCUGAUGAGGAAAAUCCUCCUGCUCCCACCAUGUACUGCCAUUUCAGCUCCAGAUAAUAUUUUCUGUGCAUAAUAACUUCCACAGUCUGUGGGAACCUUGUCAGCACAGCGUGAAUUUGUCCACCUUUAAUCAGCGCGCAGGCAGGAGAAAGGCUUUCCUCCCCUUUACAUUGGUUGCUGUGCUGCCUCUCGGGGAAUGGUUUGCUCUCUUCCCGGGUCAGCCAGCACUGCAUCGGGUUGUUUGGGAAGUCAGCGGGGCUGCCGGGUACUAGGAUAAAGUUCUUUAAAAGGCAUCAUUGCAGGAAAAGUAAGUACUGCACUAUGUUUGUGUUGCACAGAGGCUUUUACGAAUAACUUACUGUGUUCCAACGUUGUUUCUGAAUUUCAGCUGAAUCACUUCUACUUUCUUCAUUGCUGUAGAAUUAUGGGUGGACUUAAAAAAGUCUUCAGAUAUUUAUUGUCUUUUUCAGCAGCCUUUCCUCUCACUUGAGCAAAACUCCUCCAAAAAUUAUCGAGCAGAUUUGUUGUUUUUCUUUUACAGCUGACAGUGCACCCAAGAACCGCAGUUACAAGCAGUCAUUGAUUUGUUUCCUGCUUGAGUACCACAAAACGUUUUUCAAGAAAUGGAAGGAGAUAAAGGGCAGAGUGCUAAAGCUACCAGUGCAGUGGGUGACCUGAGGAGAAGUUGGCAGACCUGGGCAGAGGAUCACAUUGAGUAUCAGAAAAAGAACCCGUUCAGCAAUGACGACAGGCUUGCAUCUAAACCUGCGCACACUCACCGAGGAGAUCCUACCUAUGGGAGACCCCCUGAAGGGUCUCGGACAGAGCAGAGAGGGAAAGAUGCUCAUUCACACGUGGGCAAGGAAGUAGAAGAGCUGUGCUUGAUCAUUAGAAGCACUGGACAGGUGGGAGAAGAUGGACACGUGAGUGUGACAUUCGGGCAGCUGUUUGAAACAUACGUGACUAUUUCCAACAAAGUAGUAGGAAUCUUGUUAAGAGCCAGAAAACAUGGUCUGGUUCAUUUUGAAGGUGAAAUGCUUUGGCAAGGAAAAGAUGAUGAUGUGGUCAUCACUUUACUACAAUAGGGCUUUGUCAUGGAAUGAAUUUUGCUGCAUGGUUCCAUUUGGACAAACAUACCUAGAUAGCACCUUGAAAGGUUUUCAUUACAGAAUUUCAACUCAGCUACCUACUGGGACAUGAGCAGGAGAGAAAAUUGGUGAGAAGGAUAAAGCAUAUUAUUGUAAAAAUGUAGAGAUUUGGACAGAAAUCACAAAUGAUAAGCUAAUCCAUCACGCUGCCAUUGGAUUGUCUUUAUCAUCUACUAUUAUGUAUAUCACAGUUCUUCAAAUGACUCUGCUGGCUUUGAGGUUACUGAGAAUAAAUAACUAACUUCCUACCAUACAACACUGAUCCUUGCAGGUUGUGAAAUACUUGCUGCAUGGGGGAUUGAGAUUUGUAAAACGUGAAAUUGAAAACUUUUGUGGGCAUUCAUAUACUUCUUCACACAAAGAGCCUGGAUAUAUUUAAGUUUAAUUUCACACUGUUAAACUGAAUAAGUGGAAGCUAUUUUCAUGAAAGAGAAAAAAAUUCCCAAACUUACUAAAAUACCACAGCAAGGAUAUUUGAUGGUUCCUAAAUUAGUUGCACCUUGCAUGUAUUUUGGAGAGCUGCACUAGUCCUGGUUUUUAACAGCCUAUUCUUAUAAUCAUAUUUUCUCCAAACCUUCUGUGUCCUGUGUACUUUUUCUUCUGUAUCUCACACCAUUUUUACCUCUUCUGUUCUUCCAAUGCUGUGUCAUACCCUAGAAGGUCACAAAGCUCUGCAGUUUUUUUGGUGAAUUCAGCUAUACCCCUUCAUAGGAAGUAAGGUGCCACAAUAUAAAGAUGUGAAAGACAACAGAAAUUCUGUACUGGGGCACCUGUACAUUCCUAAGGAAAAAAAAGGCUCUUCUUUCACAAAAAUGAGGCAAUGUUUUUUACGAGAGGAGAGAUCCUGUAGUGCCAAAUGCAUAAAUAAAAAUAUAGCAGCGCUGUCCCAUACCUCGUUUACCAAAGGCAAAGCUGUGCUUUCAGAGCACAGUUGUGAGCUGUCCAAACUUUUUAAAAGGAAAAAAAAGGAUUGAUUACAUAAAAUAGUUGUAAUAGUGCUAUUAAAAAUAAUCAGGAGCUGUAUUUACGAUAGUUCCCAUCAGUAAAGCUGUAAAAUUAGAAAUCUAAAGUUCUGGUUUUUAUCAGUGCAAAUAAAAGCUUUUGUGUGGUGUUAACUACACUACUUGAUGGGUCUUUAAAGAUACUCUCUUGCACCAAAAGGAUAUUAAAAUUUAAUAUAAAUUAAGAACUUGAUAAAAGUGAUGUUACUUUAUGCUAUUUAUAUAAAAAAAACUUUAUUGCAAAAA